rnacentral:lncRNA from 1 species
CGGCAGUAAAGUGGUGAACAGUUCAUCGUUUCUCAUGAUUUGGACUCUUCACAUGGGCUGCUGCGUGCAUGGUUGUCUGCUGGGAGCUUUAAAUGUGACUGACGAGUCCCCUGGCUCACAGGAUGAAUCAAAAUAUGUUGUUUUUUAGAGUAGAUUAUUGCAGCUAUCCUCAAGAUGCAAGCAUCACAACUCGGCACGGCACAUCACUCGAAGUCGUAGCUCUCUGCCCCAACCAGCACGAAUUUGUUUGGCACAUUCAACCCCAAAUUGGACCAUUUGCGGCUGGGAAUGUGCUUCUUGCAGCAGAAAUUCUUUUCUGGCCUGAACCCAGCGAAGUCUUUGCGGAUGCUGUCAUCGGUAAAGGUGGCUACCAUGUCAAAGAGGACUUUCUUCUGUCAUCAGCAGAACCUGUUGAUUCCGUCUGUGCAGAAAGUGUUAAGAGUCAUGUGUGCCAUCCUGUCUGCUUUCCACCGUUAUAUUAUAAAUGUCACGGGUAGAAAAAUUGGUUUAUUUCACUGACUGUAAAGUGCAGUACAGGUUAUUAUUGCAUCGCAGUGGACAUGAACACAAAUUUAAACUGCCUGAGUUGCAAAGACCCAUUACCUCCAGUAACUUCCCUCUGCCACUGAUGCUGCUAAAGCUGCUGGUAGUGACACUGUCUGGAAGAAUUAGCUGUGGCUACUGUAUUAAAGUGCUGUUUCUAAA